rnacentral:tRNA from 1 species
GGAUGUGGCUCAGUGGUAGAGCACUUGCCUAGCAUGCACAAGGCCCUGAGUUCCAUCCUCAGCACCA